rnacentral:lncRNA from 1 species
AUUCAUAUGGUUUUGUACCUUGACUUUUUUCACUCAACAACUUAUUUCCAUGUCAAUAAAUAUAUUUCAACUACAUACAUUUUAAUGGCUGCAUAACAUCCAAUCUAUGGAUAAACCAUUUAUUUAACCAGUUCCCUGUCAGCCUAACUCCAGACAAGGUGUGUUGAAAAGAAAGUGCUUAUUCUUAUGUUUGGUUUUGUGUAUGUCCUGGCUUAGAAGGAUAAGCAAUUCUCUUGAACGGGUAAAAAGAAAGGGAGUUAUUAGAAGUUGUAGUUCUCUUGAAUACAUUGAAUAAGUAUUCAGGAUUUACAGAACAUUUAACAUUAGCAAGAUUCUUUUGCAGAUAAUGGGGUAGGUGAGGGAUUCCCCAUUGGAAGACUAAAGGGUUUCGAUAGGAUAUAAAUAUUUUGUGGAAAUCCCAGGAAGUAUAAAUGUUUGUACAUCUGAUCUUAGUAAUAAAGGAAAUAUAUAAAGAUUACAAGGUUAAACAUGCUAGUAAUCAUAAAUCAGGUGCAAUCUGUAAGCACAAAAACCCAAUAACAUUACCCACUAUAUCUCUAGUGCCUAGCACUGUCCCCAUCAGAUACUAUGUAUUUGUUGAAUGAAUAAAUUCAGGAUAAAGACUUUUUUUUUCUUUCCUCACUGGAAAAGAUAAUUCGUAUUUUAAAUGAAGUGGCAUUUGAGUUAGGCUAAAAGGAUAGAUUCUGAGCUUACAGAGAUGGUAGGGAAGUGUACCUAAAAGGCAAAAAUGUAUGAAAUCCAGUUAUGACAGAGGAAGGAGUCCAGUUAAUGUUUUCCUCAAACUGCACAAUGCUCACCUCUCUUGUCCAGGCAAUUUCCCCCUUAAGUUGUCAUACAUGCUACAAAUUUUGUGCUUUCUGUCAUCCAUUAGGGCAGGUCGCUCUUCUUCCAGACUUAGGAGAUAACGUCUUUCAUAGUCCUCCACGUCAAGGAGUAAGCUGUAGGUCUAAGCAGGGAGACAAAAGCAGGCCACAGCAUGCUAGGUCAGAACCACAGUAUUAGUUAAACAAUUUCACAGUUUAGGACUACUAGCUAAAGACAAACGAAUACAAACUCAUUAUAGAAAGACUGAGAUUUUUUUUUUUAAAUGUAGAAAACCAUAUGAAAUAACUUAAAAAAUCGUCUCUCUCUGACCUCUAUUCUAGCAGGCAAAGACAGUAAAAUAGUCUAGAUGCGGUGGCUCACGCCUGUAAUCCCAGCACUUUGGGAGGCUGAGAUGGGCGGAUCACGUGAGGUCGGGAGUCCAAGACCAGCCUGAACAACAUGGAGAAAUCCCAUCUCUACUAAAAAUACAAAAUUAGCCAGGCAUAGUGGCACAUGCCUAUAAUCCCAGCUACGCAGCACUUUGGGAGGCCGAGAGGGGUAGAUCACUUGAGGCCAGGAGUCCGAGACCAGCCUGGCCAACAUAGCGAAACCCCGUCUCUACUAAAAAUANNNNNNNNNNNNNNNNNNNNNUACACAUCCACAAUCAAGAGACUUGGCUGAUAAUUGAUAAACAGUGGCACUGAUUUUGCAUACCUUAGGUUUUGCAGGUGGGGUCCUGGGCCAGGAGGGUGCUGCUGUGGAGGUGGUGUAGCGGAGGGUGGAGCACUAAAGAAGGCACGGAAGCCUGGUGCUGGGGGAAGCAUCUGCCCAACUCGCCCUUGUAGCAACUUGGGAUUCAUGGCAGCAAGUGGACUACCAACAAAUCCAGGGACCCGUGCAAACUGGCUGGGAGACAUCCGUCCAGGCUGUAGCUACAAAGAGGAAGAAGAUCUUAGAUUUAGACAAUCAGCAAGUCCCCUUGCUUUUGUCUACAGAAAAGUGAAUACGGUUUUCCAUCAAUAACUUUGUUUGAAAAAGUAAAGGCAAAAAUAAAAGUAGUGAUUAACAGCAAAAAAAGGGGCUAUUAUCUAAUGAACUUUAGGAAAGUAGGAGAGUUCUUUAUGGGUAGGGCUAAUCACAGGCUUACCUGUGCUCCUCCAAGAAGCUGUGCUCUCUGGAGGGGGCUGAGAACAGGAGGAACACUAGGAGGAAAAGGGUGACCCAGGAGGGAAGAGUUCUAAGGUAAAAAAAAAAAAAAAAAAAAGAAUAUGCUAUAAAACAGGGGGUACAUCAUAAUAAGGAAACUCAGCAGAAAUGCAGUAUAAACUUGGAUAUAAAAACUCUCAAAUUAUAGAGUCAAGCUCUGGAAUAGAAAAAAAGAGUAAUGCUAGAAAUUAUAAAAACACCAUGACCAUGUGACAUGAAAAAGAAGCAGUAGAACAUGGGACUGAAAUGGUAGAAACCAGAUGAUCACAAUGAGUUUAGAUUUUUAAAGGUAAGAAAAGAGCUGAUGUAAGAAAUAACUGUCCUCUGACCUGGGGACAAUUAGAUCCAGCAAUUUAAGUAAGGAGAUUAUAAAAAAUAGGUAUAAUUUAGGAGAUGUCAGCAAAUCUAAAUACUGGCAGUGAUCUUACAAAUAGUGAUCAGAAAACACAUACUGCACAUUUUUGUUAGGCUUAAAGUGACAUACCGGGACACUGCAGAGCUGGUUUGGAGACAUCCUCUCACCAUAGGGAGCAGGAUAACGAGGUGGCAUUGGGGGCCGAACAUGGACAGGCUUUGGACACAGAAUCUAUCAGGACAAACAUAUAUACAACUACACUCAAUGAAAUCAGUUUUUCUUCCACCUACACUCCCUCCCCUCAAGUACUGGUAGAGACACGAACUCAAUGCAAAGCCCUACUUCUAAGCAAAUUGCUAUGGCUACAGGUUCAAAUACAGAACCUUGGGCCACUUUCUCUCACAAAUCAAGUAAAGUGUCAGCAUUAACUGAGGAAGAUUUAGCUAAUUCUCCAGUUAUCCCCACCCUUCCAUGCUGUCUGAGGGAGAUACCAGCAGAUAUUCUGACUUGCAAAUUCUCUCCAAGAGGAUAUAUUUUGGUAGCACUGAGGGAGAAGGAAUGAUAAGAAAGCUGGAGGAUUAACUAAGUCCUAUUCUGAAGCCCCUGUGAUAUGGCCGCCAUGCUCAGCACUUUUGUGAUACAUUGUGACUCCACCAUUUCAUAGGAUUUGAGCCUAACUAGGCCAUACCAACACCACCCUCCCCCCAUACCUUCCAAAUUGGCCUUCCUUUUCAGCUGCUGGUUUCAGGUGGAGGAAAGUCUAUGGAACAGGACUGCACAGGCUCUAGGGAAAGCAGGGAUAUCUUAAAGGUAAAAAGGGAUGUGGACAAUGCUGUGUGUUCCCACUCCCCCCAGCUUUCAGUUAUCUCUCUGACAAUGUUUUGGGCAGCCAGCAAAACACUUUAAAAAGGAUAUAUGUGAUAAAUGUGGCUAACUACCCUUUUUUCUCCCCCAAUUAAAAGGCAGCAGCAAUAGCAGCAGCAAAGAGUAUCAGGGAAUGUGUCUCUUAUUUGUACUAAUUUCUCCUCUAACUAGCUAUUUUUCUUUCUAAUCUAAUGCCUACCCAAAAUUUCCACCCUCCACCCAACAUCACCAAUUUUCCAAAUAAUUUUGCCCAGAUUCCCAAUAUCCUGGGCUGUGUGCUUGUUAAUGAGAGGUACCUGUUGGGUGAAGCUGGGUACAGCCAUCUGUUUAGGUGGGGUGCCUAUGGGGACAGCUCUAACAGGAGGACUGCCAAUGAUAGGUGAAGUUGACCGCCUUGGUAAUGCACGUUCAGAAAGGUCCCGAUCAUCUUCUGGACCCUGGGGGGGCCUCUGAGGCAAAGCAUAUUCUAAUACAGACACUGUAGGCAUUUCCUAAUUGAGGAAGUGGUAAAAUAAAAUAGAAAUUAACUAACUUGGUAUGUUUUAGUAAUCUCUACAGAUGCCAAAAAUACCUUAAGAAAUUUUUUUAACUUUUUAUUUAUUUUUAAUUCACAUAUAGUAAAAUUCACUUUUUGGUAUAUGGUUCUCUGAGUUUGGUAAGCGGCUCAUGCCUGAAAUCCCAGCGCCUUGGGAGGGUGAGGUGGGAGGAUCACUUGAAG